UCAGGAUGAACGCUAGCGACAGGCUUAACACAUGCAAGGUCGAGGGGCAGCAUAAAAGUAGCAAUACUUGGUGGCGACCGGCGCACGGGUGAGUAACGCGUAUGCAACCUACCUAUCAGAGGGAAUAACCGGCGAAAGUCGGACUAAUACCGCAUAAAACAGGGGCACCGCAUGGUGAUAUUUGUUAAAGAAAUUCGCUGAUAGAUGGGCAUGCGUUCCAUUAGGUAGUUGGUGAGGUAACGGCUCACCAAGCCGACGAUGGAUAGGGGAACUGAGAGGUUGGUCCCCCACACUGGUACUGAGACACGGACCAGACUCCUACGGGAGGCAGCAGUGAGGAAUAUUGGUCAAUGGGCGGGAGCCUGAACCAGCCAAGUCGCCGUGAAGGAAGAAGGAUCUAUGGUUCGUAAACUUCUUUUGCAGGGGAAUAAAGUGCAGGACGUGUCCUGUUUUGUAUGUACCCUGAGAAUAAGGAUCGGCUAACUCCGUGCCAGCCGCCGC
rnacentral:rRNA from 1 species